rnacentral:lncRNA from 1 species
GUGGGUCCACCCACAGGAAGCACAGGUCAAGGCGCUCAUCCAGUGACGCGCCAAAGCACACGAGGCGAGGAUCGAAUGCCAGCAGUGCAGCCGGUUCGCCGGUGGGUUCACCAAAAGCCGGCGACGGCGAGAAGAAGUCGAGGCGCCACCGGUCUUCCAACAACAUGGCGAUGGGAUCCCCAGCCAGGGAGACGUCGAC